GAUGAACGCUGACAGAAUGCUUAACACAUGCAAGUCAACUUGAAUUUGGGUUUUUAACUUAGAUUUGGGUGGCGGACGGGUGAGUAACGCGUAAAGAACUUGCCUCACAGCUAGGGACAACAUUUAGAAAUGAAUGCUAAUACCUGAUAUUAUGAUUUUAAGGCAUCUUAGAAUUAUGAAAGCUAUAAGCACUGUGAGAGAGCUUUGCGUCCCAUUAGCUAGUUGGAGAGGUAACAGCUCACCAAGGCGAUGAUGGGUAGCCGGCCUGAGAGGGUGAACGGCCACAAGGGGACUGAGACACGGCCCUUACUCCUACGGGAGGCAGCAGUGGGGAAUAUUGGACAAUGGACCGAGAGUCUGAUCCAGCAAUUCUGUGUGCACGAUGAAGUUUUUCGGAAUGUAAAGUGCUUUCAGUUGGGAAGAAACAAAUGACGGUACCAACAGAAGAAGUGACGGCUAAAUACGUGCCAGCAGCCGCGGUAAUACGUAUGUCACGAGCGUUAUCCGGAUUUAUUGGGCGUAAAGCGCGUCUAGGUGGUUAUGUA
rnacentral:rRNA from 1 species